CCCACAUGCCGUAAACCCAAGGUUUCCAGGGGAAGGUUCGUCCGCCCUGGGUUAGUCGGGACCUAAGCUGAGGCCGAAAGGCGUAGGUGAUGGACAACAGGUUGAUAUUCCUGUACUACCGAUAACCGGUUGAGAGAUGGGAUGACACAGUAGGAUAAGCUAAGCACACUGUUGGUUAUGUGUGCCCAAGCAUUGAGGCAGUCAGAGUAGGUAAAUCCGCUUUGAUAAUGCUGGGAUGUGAUGGGGAGCGAAAUUU
rnacentral:rRNA from 1 species